rnacentral:rRNA from 1 species
AACCGGAUUAGAUACCCUGGUAGUCCACGCUGUAAACGAUGUCGAUUUGGAGGUUGUGCCCUUGAGGCGUGGCUUCCGGAGCUAACGCGUUAAAUCGACCGCCUGGGGAGUACGGCCGCAAGGUUAAAACUCAAAUGAAUUGACGGGGGCCCGCACAAGCGGUGGAGCAUGUGGUUUAAUUCGAUGCAACGCGAAGAACCUUACCUACUCUUGACAUCCAGAGAACUUAGCAGAGAUGCUUUGGUGCCUUCGGGAACUCUGAGACAGGUGCUGCAUGGCUGUCGUCAGCUCGUGUUGUGAAAUGUUGGGUUAAGUCCCGCAACGAGCGCAACCCUUAUCCUUUGUUGCCAGCGGUUCGGCCGGGAACUCAAAGGAGACUGCCAGUGAUAAACUGGAGGAAGGUGGGGAUGACGUCAAGUCAUCAUGGCCCUUACGAGUAGGGCUACACACGUGCUACAAUGGCGUAUACAAAGAGAAGCGACCUCGCGAGAGCAAGCGGACCUCAUAAAGUACGUCGUAGUCCGGAUUGG